GAAGGUAUAGCUCAGGUGGAAUGUGUGCUUAGCAUACAUGAGGUCCUGGGUUCAAUUCCCAGUACCUCCA
rnacentral:tRNA from 1 species